CAGCAAGAAGUGGAGAUGCUCAACAUGAGCAACUUCAGACCAGGGAGAGCAGCUGAUGAGGAGGAAGAUGGCCAGGCACUGCCGUGACCCUGAGAGUGCAGGGAGUCUAGCCACUUUUCUACCCGUUGAGAGAAUGCUUCGAUUUUCAUGCAACAAUGGAGCAAACUUCAAAAAUGGGAAGGGACAGUGUCACUGCAAAGGGUUCCUAAUAUGACCUGGUUCAUUCAGCCAACAUGCAUUUGGUACCACUAUAUGUCAGUCCUCGUGGCAGACACCAAAGGGGACAGAGGGAUUUCAUCCAUGCUGCCAAGAAACAUGCAGUCUGAAU
rnacentral:lncRNA from 10 species